rnacentral:rRNA from 1 species
GACGAACGCUGGCGGCGUGCUUAACACAUGCAAGUCGAACGGAAAGGCCCUGCUUGCAGGGUGCUCGAGUGGCGAACGGGUGAGUAACACGUGGGUGAUCUGCCCCUUACUUUGGGAUAAGCCUGGGAAACUGGGUCUAAUACUGGAUAGGACCAUGCUGUAGGUGGUGUGGUGGAAAGAUUUUUUCGGUAAGGGAUGAGCUCGCGGCCUAUCAGCUUGUUGGUGGGGUAAUGGCCUACCAAGGCGUCGACGGGUAGCCGGCCUGAGAGGGUGGACGGCCACAUUGGGACUGAGAUACGGACCAGACUCCUACGGGAGGCAGCAGUGGGGAAUAUUGCACAAUGGGCGCAAGCCUGAUGCAGCGACGCCGCGUGGGGGAUGACGGCCUUCGGGUUGUAAACUCCUUUCAGCCAUGACGAAGCCUCUUUUGGGGUGACGGUAGUGGUAGAAGAAGCACCGGCUAACUACGU